rnacentral:rRNA from 1 species
AUUGAACGCUGGCGGCAUGCCUUACACAUGCAAGUCGAACGGCAGCACGGGAGCAAUCCUGGUGGCGAGUGGCGAACGGGUGAGUAAUAUAUCGGAACGUGCCCGGUCGUGGGGAUAACGUAGCGAAAGCUACGCUAAUACCGCAUACGAUCUACGGAUGAAAGCGGGGGGAUCGCAAGACCUCGCGCGAUUGGAGCGGCCGAUAUCAGAUUAGGUAGUUGGUGAGGUAAAGGCUCACCAAGCCGACGAUCUGUAGCUGGUCUGAGAGGACGACCAGCCACACUGGGACUGAGACACGGCCCAGACUCCUACGGGAGGCAGCAGUGGGGAAUUUUGGACAAUGGGCGCAAGCCUGAUCCAGCAAUGCCGCGUGCAGGAU